UACGUAGGGGGCAAGCGUUGUCCGGAUUUACUGGGCGUAAAGCGCGUGUAGGCGGCUACGCAGGUCCGUUGUGAAAACUGGAGGCUCAACCUCCAGACGUCGACGGAAACCGUGUGGCUAGAGUCCGGAAGAGGAGAGUGGAAUUCCUGGUGUAGCGGUGAAAUGCGCAGAUAUCAGGAGGAACACCGGUGGCGAAGGCGGGUCUCUGGGCCGAUACUGACGCUGAGGAGCGAAAGCGUGGGGAGCGAACAGG
rnacentral:rRNA from 1 species